rnacentral:rRNA from 1 species
UGUGAGGGUUGCUGGAGGUAUCAGAAGUGCGAAUGCUGACAUAAGUAACGAUAAAGCGGGUGAAAAGCCCGCUCGCCGGAAGACCAAGGGUUCCUGUCCAACGUUAAUCGGGGCAGGGUGAGUCGACCCCUAAGGCGAGGCCGAAAGGCGUAGUCGAUGGGAAACGGGUUAAUAUUCCCGUACUUGGUGUUACUGCGAAGGGGGGACGGAGAAGGCUAUGUUGGCCGGGCGACGGUUGUCCCGGUUUAAGCGUGUAGGUGUGUGUUCCAGGUAAAUCCGGUUCACUUUAACACUGAGGCGUGACGACGAGGCACUACGGUGCUGAAGCAACAAAUGCCCUGCUUCCAGGAAAAGCCUCUAAGCAUCAGGUAACAUCAAAUCGUACCCCAAACCGACACAGGUGGUCAGGUAGAGAAUACCAAGGCGCUUGAGAGAACUCGGGUGAAGGAACUAGGCAAAAUGGUGCCGUAACUUCGGGAGAAGGCACGCUGACACGUAGGUGAAGUGAUUUACUCAUGGAGCUGAAGUCAGUCGAAGAUACCAGCUGGCUGCAACUGUUUAUUAAAAACACAGCACUGUGCAAACACGAAAGUGGACGUAUACGGUGUGACGCCUGCCCGGUGCCGGAAGGUUAAUUGAUGGGGUCAGCGCAAGCGAAGCUCCUGAUCGAAGCCCCGGUAAACGGCGGCCGUAACUAUAACGGUCCUAAGGUAGCGAAAUUCCUUGUCGGGUAAGUUCCGACCUGCACGAAUGGCGUAAUGAUGGCCAGGCUGUCUCCACCCGAGACUCAGUGAAAUUGAACUCGCUGUGAAGAUGCAGUGUACCCGCGGCAAGACGGAAAGACCCCGUGAACCUUUACUAUAGCUUGACACUGAACAUUGAGCCUUGAUGUGUAGGAUAGGUGGGAGGCUUUGAAGUGUGGACGCCAGUCUGCAUGGAGCCGACCUUGAAAUACCACCCUUUAAUGUUUGAUGUUCUAACGUGGACCCGUUACCCGGGUUGCGGACAGUGUCUGGUGGGUAGUUUGACUGGGGCGGUCUCCUCCUAAAGAGUAACGGAGGAGCACGAAGGUUGGCUAAUCCUGGUCGGACAUCAGGAGGUUAGUGCAAUGGCAUAAGCCAGCUUGACUGCGAGCGUGACGGCGCGAGCAGGUGCGAAAGCAGGUCAUAGUGAUCCGGUGGUUCUGAAUGGAAGGGCCAUCGCUCAACGGAUAAAAGGUACUCCGGGGAUAACAGGCUGAUACCGCCCAAGAGUUCAUAUCGACGGCGGUGUUUGGCACCUCGAUGUCGGCUCAUCACAUCCUGGGGCUGAAGUAGGUCCCAAGGGUAUGGCUGUUCGCCAUUUAAAGUGGUACGCGAGCUGGGUUUAGAACGUCGUGAGACAGUUCGGUCCCUAUCUGCCGUGGGCGCUGGAGAACUGAGGGGGGCUGCUCCUAGUACGAGAGGACCGGAGUGGACGCAUCACUGGUGUUCGGGUUGUCAUGCCAAUGGCACUGCCCGGUAGCUAAAUGCGGAAGAGAUAAGUGCUGAAAGCAUCUAAGCACGAAACUUGCCCCGAGAUGAGUUCUCCCUGAGACUUAAAGUCUCCUGAAGGAACGUUGAAG